AGGGCGCACGGUGAAUGCCUUGGCACUAGGAGCCGAAGAAGGACGCGACGAACAGCGAAAUGCCUCGGGGAGCUGUAAGUAAGCUUUGAUCCGGGGAGAUCCGAAUGGGGGAACCCACCAUCCGUAAUGGGAUGGUACCCAUACCUGAAUACAUAGGGUAUGAGGAGGCAGACCUGGGGAACUGAAACAUCUAAGUACCCAGAGGAAGAGAAAGCAAAUGCGAUUUCCUGAGUAGCGGCGAGCGAAACGGAAUUAGCCCAAACCAAGAGGCUUGCCUCUUGGGGUUGUAGGACGUCUCACAUGGAGUAAGAAAAGACGAUCAUAGGCGAAGCGGUCUGGAAAGGCCCGUCAGAGAAGGUAACAGCCCUGUAGCCAAAAUGAUCGUCUCUCCGAGACGGAUCCUGAGUACGGCGGGACACGUGAAACCCCGUCGGAAGCAGGGAGGACCAUCUCCUAAGGCUAAAUACUCCCUAGUGACCGAUAGUGAACCAGUACCGUGAGGGAAAGGGGAAAAGCACCCCGGAAGGGGAGUGAAAGAGAUCCUGAAACCGUGUGCCUACAAGUAGUCAGAGCCCAUUUACGGGUGAUGGCGUGCCUUUUGUAGAAUGAACCGGCGAGUUACGAUCCCGUGCAAGGUUAAGCUGAUAAGGCGGAGCCGCAGCGAAAGCGAGUCUGAAUAGGGCGGAUAAGUACGUGGUCGUAGACCCGAAACCGUGGGAUCUACCCAUGUCCAGGGUGAAGUUCCGGUAACACUGAAUGGAGGCCCGAACCCACGCAUGUUGAAAAAUGCGGGGAUGAGGUGUGGGUAGGGGUGAAAUGCCAAUCGAACUCGGAAAUAGCUGGUUCUCCCCGAAAUAGCUUUAGGGCUAGCCUCGAGGGAAGAGUAUUGGAGGUAGAGCACUGAUUGGGCUAGGGGUCCCCACAGGAUUACCGAACUCAGUCAAACUCCGAAUGCCAAAUACUUAUCCUCGGGAGUCAGACUGCGAGUGCUAAGAUCCGUAGUCAAGAGGGAAACAGCCCAGGCCGUCAGCUAAGGUCCCCAAGUAUACGUUAAGUGGUAAAGGAUGUGGAGUUGCCCAGACAACCAGGCUGUUGGCUUAGAAGCAGCCACCAUUUAAAGAGUGCGUAAUAGCUCACUGGUCGAGUGACUCUGCGCCGAAAAUGUACCGGGGCUAAACGUAUCACCGAAGCUACGGCUUGUCCUUACGGACAGGGGUAGGGGAGCGUUCUAAGUGCAGCGACGUCAGACCGGAAGGACUGGUGGAGCGCUUAGAAGGGAGAAUGCCGGUAUGAGUAGCGAAAAGAGGGGUGAGAAUCCCCUCCGUCGAAAGCCUAAGGUUUCCUGAGGAAGGCUCGUCCGCUCAGGGUAAGUCGGGACCUAAGCCGAGGCCGAAAGGCGUAGGCGAUGGACAACAGGUUGAAAUUCCUGUACCACCUCCUCACCGUUUGAGCAAUGGGGGGACGCAGUAAGGUAGGGUAAGCGCGCUGAUGGAUGCGCGUCUAAGCAGUUAGGCUGGUAAGUAGGCAAAUCCGCUUACCAUAAAGGCUGAGCUGUGAUAGCGAGGGAAAUUAAGUACCGAAGUUCCUGAUCCUACACUGCCAAGAAAAGCCUCUAGCGAGGUGAGAGGUGCCCGUACCGCAAACCGACACAGGUAGGCGUGCAGAGAAUUCUAAGACGCUCGGGAGAACUCUCGUUAAGGAACUCGGCAAAAUGACCCCGUAACUUCGGGAGAAGGGGUGCUCUGGUAGGGUGUAUGCCCGAGAGAGCCGCAGUGAAUAGGUCCAAGCGACUGUUUAGCAAAAACACAGGUCUCUGCGAAGCCGCAAGGCGAAGUAUAGGGGCUGACACCUGCCCGGUGCUGGAAGGUUAAGGGGAGCGGUUAGGCGCAAGCCGAAGCUGUGAACCGAAGCCCCAGUAAACGGCGGCCGUAACUAUAACGGUCCUAAGGUAGCGAAAUUCCUUGUCGGGUAAGUUCCGACCCGCACGAAUGGUGUAACGACUUGGACACUGUCUCAACGAGAGACCCGGUGAAAUUAUAUUACCUGUGAAGAUGCAGGUUACCCGCGACAGGACGGAAAGACCCCAUGGAGCUUUACUGUAGCUUGAUAUUGGAUUUUGGUACAGCUUGUACAGGAUAGGUAGGAGCCUUGGAAGCGUGAGCGCCAGCUUACGUGGAGGCGUCGGUGGGAUACUACCCUGGCUGCAUUGAAGUUCUAACCUCGAACCGUGAUCCGGUUCAGGGACAGUGUCAGGUGGGCAGUUUGACUGGGGCGGUCGCCUCCUAAACAGUAACGGAGGCGCCCAAAGGUUCCCUCAGAAUGGUUGGAAAUCAUUCGUAGAGUGCAAAGGCAUAAGGGAGCUUGACGGCGAGACCUACAAGUCGAGCAGGGACGAAAGUCGGGCUUAGUGAUCCGGUGGUUGCGCAUGGAAGGGCCAGCGCUCAACGGAUAAAAGCUACCCUGGGGAUAACAGGCUUAUCUCCCCCAAGAGUCCACAUCGACGGGGAGGUUUGGCACCUCGAUGUCGGCUCAUCGCAUCCUGGGGCUGAAGUAGGUCCCAAGGGUUGGGCUGUUCGCCCAUUAAAGCGGUACGCGAGCUGGGUUCAGAACGUCGUGAGACAGUUCGGUCCCUAUCCGUCGUGGGCGUAGGAAAUUUGAGAGGAGCUGUCCUUAGUACGAGAGGACCGGGAUGGACACACCGCUGGUGUACCAGUUGUUCCGCCAGGAGCAUAGCUGGGUAGCUACGUGUGGACGGGAUAAGCGCUGAAAGCAUCUAAGCGUGAAGCCCCCCUCAAGAUGAGAUUUCCCAUUACGUUAAGUAAGUAAGACCCCUUAGAGAUGAUGAGGUUGA
rnacentral:rRNA from 1 species